rnacentral:ncRNA from 1 species
GAACUGAAGAGUUUGAUCCUGGCUCAGAUUGAACGCUGGCGGCAUGCUUUACACAUGCAAGUCGAACGCGAAAGGGGGCAACCCU